UACCUGCAGCUCAAGUGGUGGCCGCUAUUAUUGGGCCUAAAACGUUCGUAGCCGGCUGAGUAAAUGCUUGGGUAAAUCGUGCCGCUUAACGGUACGAAUUCCGGGUAGACUGCUCAGCUUGAGACCGGGAGAAGCUAGAGGUACUCCUGGGGUAGAGGUGAAAUUCUGUAAUCCUGGGGGGACCACCAGUGGCGAAGGCGUCUAGCUAGAACGGGUCUGACGGUGAGGGACGGAACCCUGGGGCGCAAACCGGAUUAGAUACCCGGGUAGUCCAGGGCGCAAACGCUGCUUGCUUGAUGUUAGCUGGGCUCCGGGCUCAGCUAGUGUCGGAGAGAAGUUGUUAAGCAAGCUGCCUGGGAAGUACGAUCGCAAGAUUGAAACUUAAAGGAAUUGGCGGGGGAGCACAGCAACGGGUGGAGCGUGCGGUUU
rnacentral:rRNA from 1 species